UGUAGUGUAUGAGAAGAGUGUCAAACAUGUGCACCACCAGCAACCUUGUAAGUAAUCAACCCAGUAAUGGCACCAGGACCCAGCUACCAGAGUUUUAACCUGCUGAGCCCAGAUGACUCGCAGCCCCUGUAUGAACUUAAAUGCAGGUUAUGUUGAAAAGGCAGUGAGCUCCAACCAUGUGACAAUGCUGCCCCCUGGUGCCAAAACUUGAAUUGCAUGUGCCUGAACGUAGUGAGGAGAAGCGAUCCUCCGGCACACUUCUCCCUCUCUUCACCCCCUCCUACCCUCCCCCACGUUGCCACACUGCCCAAACAAACCAGUUAUCCUGGACAACGAUCUUUAACAGCUGCAGACUGAAGGGAAAGGUACACCCGGCUUCUCUGAGGACCCACUCGUGCAGGACGCUUGCUGAUGACGUCACACCCGGAAGUAGCAGACGUCCGAAUGCAGACGUGCUGCCUGGGAGAGCCGGACUGCUUAAGACAGUACAAUGCUGGUGUUGACCCUUCAUGAUGACAAUACAAGGACAUAUUCCAUGCUCUUACUACAAUCUAUGGACAGGAAGGAAUUCCAGUACAAGGGUUUGUCCCAGGCCUGCUGGGAACAUCAGAUGGAGCCCUGCAGUUCAUGGCCUACAAGAAACUGAAAAUGGACUUUACAAGCAUUUCCAUCGACCCAGUGACACAGAACCGGAAAGAAAAGUUCCAUGGAGUCUACAAGAGAAUUGACUUUAGCAUUAUCCUAGGGACCUCCACCUGCAGCAUGACUUCUACUUUCAUUUUCCUGGAAGUGACCACAGUGCAGAAGUUGUGUAAUAAAAUGAAUAGAAAACUCUA